GAACGAGAGCAGCCGAACACUAACAAGUCUUCAGUCUAAUAAAAUAAAAAAUAAAAGUAUAGAACAGGCCAGAGUUUUUUCAUGUAGCAAAAGGCAAAAACAAACCAGAUCGGUGAAACGCAGCACGAUACACCGCAGCUGAAUCAUGAUCUCGCAGUUCUUCGUGCUCUCCCAGAGAGGCGAUAACAUCGUCUUCCGCGACUAUCGGGGUGAAGUACAAAAAGGAAGCGCCGAGAUAUUUUUCCGCAAAGUGAAGUUUUGGAAGGAGGAUGAAGAAGGAGAGGCACCACCUGUCUUUAAUGUGGAUGGUGUGAACUACUUUCAUGUUAAGGUUGCUGGUCUACUGUUUGUUGCAACUACUAGAGUUAAUGUGUCACCUUCUCUUGCUCUGGAACUUCUACAAAGAAUUGCACGCGUCAUCAAAGAUUACCUUGGUGUUCUUAAUGAAGAUUCAUUGAGGAAAAAUUUUGUGCUUGUGUAUGAGCUGCUGGACGAAGUCAUUGAUUUUGGUUACGUACAAACAACAUCUACAGAAGUGUUGAAGUCAUAUGUAUUUAAUGAACCAAUUGUUAUUGAUGCAGCACGUUUGCCCCCGCUUGGUGCUGCUGCUAUUUUUGUGCAAGGGUCCAAAAGAAUGCCAGGAACAGCUAUUACAAAAUCUGUUGUAGCAAAUGAGCCCGGGGGGCGGAAGAGGGAGGAAAUUUUUGUUGACAUCAUUGAGAAAAUAAGUAUUACAUUCAGUUCAAGUGGAUAUAUACUUACUUCUGAGAUUGAUGGAACCAUUCAAAUGAAGAGUUAUCUUACUGGCAACCCAGAAAUUAGACUUGCUCUUAACGAGGAUGUGACUAUAGGAAGAAAUGGAAGAUCAGUCUAUGAUUAUAGUAGCUCAUUGGGUUCAGGAGCUGUGAUACUAGAUGACUGUAACUUCCAUGAAUCUGUGCAUCUUGAUAGUUUUGACAUUGACAGAACUUUGUCCCUGAUACCACCGGAUGGCGAAUUUCCUGUCAUGAAUUAUCGCAUGACUCAGGAAUUCAAGCCUCCGUUUCGUAUUAAUGCUUUGAUUGAAGAAGCAGGAGCUCUUAGGGCUGAAGUUAUUGUCAAAGUGCGUGCUGAAUUCCCAUCAAAUAUUACUGCAAACACAAUUAUGGUACAGAUGCCACUACCAACAUAUACAACUAGGGCUAGUUUUGAGUUGGAACCUGGAGCAGUUGGGAACACAACUGACUUUAAGGAGGGAAAUAAGAGACUAGAAUGGGGAUUAAGGAAGAUUGUUGGUGGAUCUGAACAUACACUGCGUGCAAAGCUGACAUUCUCACAGGAAUUCCAUGGAAAUAUAACAAAGGAAGCUGGACCUGUUAGCAUGACCUUCACAAUACCAAUGUACAAUGCUUCAAGGCUUCAGGUUAAAUACUUGCAGAUAGCUAAGAAGUCCAAAACUUACAAUCCGUAUCGAUGGGUGAGAUACGUAACGCAAGCGAAUUCCUACGUUGCCCGGAUAUGAGGGGAUAAAAGCAUUUACCCCCAUUUUCCCUUGUUGCUUCUGUUUGAUUCCUUUCUUGAAGACUUGAGCAGUUAUGGCUGGAGGUUGUGCAGCCUGAAAGCCGUACUCGACAAUGGCUAGCAGACCACUACCGAGUCAAAAAUGUCGGUAAGUACGAUGGCCCACCACACCCUGAUCUGGACUGCCAGGUGGACGUCUACAACUUUACACUGAAAGUCACAUCAACUAUCUAUCUCCCACCCCCUCUACUUACAGGGGCGGUUAGCACAAGUCUGAACAUAAUAAUCUGAUCUAUAUAGCUAUGGUACCGUGCUCCUGUAACUAAACUGAACUAUCAUCCGGCAUCUGAUAAUAUAUAAUACAUGAUAAUGUAUAGUUUAAUGUAAAUAGAUUGAUAGCAUUUUUUGUAAUAUCAUAAAUACAUACGGCUUUGUGCUGAUUACUUUGACAUCUGCGGCCUUGCGUCGAACAUUUCAUAAAUACGACCUUGUGUAGAAA